rnacentral:rRNA from 1 species
UAUAACGACUCUCGGCAACGGAUAUCUCGGCUCUCGCAUCGAUGAAGAACGUAGCGAAAUGCGAUACUUGGUGUGAAUUGCAGAAUCCCGUGAACCAUCGAGUCUUUGAACGCAAGUUGCGCCCCAAGCCUUUAGGCCGAGGGCACGUCUGCCUGGGUGUCACGCAUCGUUGCCCCACCCCC